rnacentral:rRNA from 1 species
CCUACGGGAGGCAGCAGUGGGGAAUAUUCGACAAUGGGGGAAACCCUGAUGCAGCGACGCCGCGUGAGUGAAGAAGGAAUUCGUUUUGUAAAGCUCUAUUAGCAGGGAAGAAAAAGGCGGUAAGUGAGUGAACAGCCCCGGACAAAUACGGGCCAGCAGCCGAGGUAAUACGUAGGGGGCAAGGCUUGUCCGGAUUUAAUGGGUGAAAAGGGGGCGGAGGCGGUAGUGCAAGUCUGGAGUGAAGGGCGCGGGCUCAACCUCCGGUGUGCUCUGGAAACUGUACGGCUGGAGUGCAGGAGAGGUAAGUGGAAGUCCUAGUGUAGCGGUGAAAUGCGUAGAUAUUAGGAGGAACACCAGUGGCGAAGGCGGCUUACUGGACUGUAACUGACGCUGAGGCUCGAAAGCGUGGGGAGCAAACAGGAUUAGAUACCCCUGUAGUC